AUGGGCGGCACGUCGGCACAUAGGAUGGUGUUGGAGGGUUGGCAGGAGGGUGAUGCUAUGGUGAGGGUGGAUGGGCGAUGGUCUGAGAAGGCGGCGAUAAGUGGCAGAGGGACGACGAGGAAAAGAAACAAUAUGGGGGAAAUGGUAGCAUCAGCAGUUGUGCAGGAGGCUGUGAGUGGAGCCGUCUCCUUGGUGUUCAGCAGCCGCACCGGAAAGGCAUCCCAGGAGGAACUCAUGGAGAGGCUGGAGAUGGCGCACAUAAAGCUGCAUGUUGGGCUCGAGAGGACCGAGAUGAUGCCCAUUACCAUCAUGCCGCUGCUUCGACUAAGGAAGAAACUGAAGGAUGUCUUCAAGGAGUGCGAUGAUCUGCUGAGCAAGGUGAGGGAUCAACAAGUGGUACCCUCUUUACGCAGAAAGAUUAUGCACGCUGUGUUGCCAUCUUUCAUUGUCCCAAGUCAAGAUAUGUUGAGCAGCUCUGUGGUUGGAAGAUUCGAGUGGUUUGCCAAGGAAGCCGACAAGUUUGUCAGGGACAUGGAGUCCGGAUGUUCACUUUCUCAGUACCGGUUUCUCAAUCCUCUCACCAGGCAUCUUCUUGAAGGCCAGGAUCUCUCCUAUCACAUGUCACUAGGACCUUCAUUCAAGUCUUUGGCUGAAGUUGCAACGGGAGAAAUCACUCAAGUACCUACACAAGACGUUUCAUAUUCCCCCGAUCCAAUAUCGUGGGGUAGGAAAAGGUGUGGCUGGUCUCCAUGGGCAAACAUAGUUGGACUGACUAAAGAAUGGAGUCCAGACCCAUUUUGUUGCAUACUAAAUGGGCUCAAUAAGCCUUCUGCUAACAAUAUCAUCUUAUCCGAGUUAACAGGCAGAUUUCAACAAGAUGUUGUUCUCUUCCAGUUUACCUGCAGUUUUUCAGCUUCUGAGUACUGCUCGCGGAGCUCAACUGAUGAAGCUCGUAUAAACACCACAAAAGCCUGGCCACCUCUAGAUAAGACAGUUAUCUUUGCACCUCAUGCCUCCCGCAAACCCCAGGACGGGCCUAGCUUACAUCAAAAAGAGGAUGGAAUACAAACAGAGGCAAUCGAUUGUUUCAUUCGUCACCCUGAGCAGACCAAGUACGAUAAGAUUUGGUACCUGACACAUGGUUGGGUAAUCUUUCGUGUUUCGAAGCCGAUCACCACAACUAGGAGAGCGUCAAAGAGAAGGCGUUAG
rnacentral:rRNA from 1 species